rnacentral:misc_RNA from 1 species
UAGUUGGAAUCUUCAACAGCCUGGUCUCCUGUAAAAGAAGAUGAGUCUAAGCUAGACUGCAAGAGUGGUCACCAUAUAUAUUGUUAAGGCUCAUCCCAAUGCAGCAGUCAGAUUUUAUCUGAAGGAAGCUUUCCAUGAUCAUUAUUAUCAACUAACAGUCUCGUGUGGUGUCUGAGUUGGGUUUCCCUCUUUGGAAAGCUUAUGUUUCCAGAGCUGCAUUCUUGUGCUAUUGGGUGUCAUUUGAGUAAUCAUUUUGUAAACCUACUGUAGUUGGGUGUGCAUAAGUUAGUAAUUUGCUCAUAAUCUGCUAGAUGGGUGCGUGUCAGCAGGUUUCCAGAAUUUGAGGAAACUUCAUUCUUCACAUGGAAUAUCAAGGUCCCUAAAUCACUCUUUGCAAGCUGUGAUUAUAUUUUCGAUGGCUGAGAAAAGGAGGAAAUUUAAGGAUACUUCAUUGUAUUCUUUUAUUGAGGGGAUAUAGAAUCCCUCCUCCAUGCUCGUGAGGAUCCGUCUCGAAUGAGGAUUUUUUUUUUUU